rnacentral:piRNA from 3 species
UAGUGGACAGAAGGGAUUUCUGAAA